rnacentral:rRNA from 1 species
GAGGCAGCAAUGUCUUAGAUGGCGACCGGCGCACGGGUGAGUAACACGUAUGCAACCUGCUCACAACUGCGGGAUAACCCGUCGAAAGACGGACUAAUACCGCAUGGUAUGGAUUGAUCGCCUGAUUGAUUCAUCAAAGAAUUUCGGUUGUGGAUGGGCAUGCGUUCCAUUAGGCAGUUGGUGAGGUAACGGCUCACCAAACCUACGAUGGAUAGGGGUUCUGAGAGGAAGGUCCCCCACACUGGUACUGAGACACGGACCAGACUCCUACGGGAGGCAGCAGUGAGGAAUAUUGGUCAAUGGGCGAGAGCCUGAACCAGCCAAAUCGCGUGAAGGAUGAAGGUAUUAUGUAUUGUAAACUUCUUUUAUAGGGGAAUAAAGUGCACCACGUGUGGUGUUUUGUAUGUACCCUAGGAAUAAGGAUCGGCUAACUCCGUGCCAGCAGCCGCGGUAAUACGGAGGAUCCAAGCGUUAUCCGGAUUUAUUGGGUUUAAAGGGUGCGUAGGCGGGGAUACAAGUCAGCGGUGAAAGUUUGCGGCUCAACCGUAAAAUUGCCGUUGAAACUGUAUCCCUUGAGUGUAGACGAGGUGCGUGGAAUUCGUAGUGUAGCGGUGAAAUGCUUAGAUAUUACGAAGAACUCCAAUUGCGUAGGCAGCGCACCAGGCUACAACUGACGCUGAGGCACGAAGGUGCGGGUAUCAAACAGGAUUAGAUACCCUGGUAGUCCGCACAGUAAACGAUGAAUACUAGCUGUUUGCGAUAUACAGUAAGUGGCACAGCGAAAGCGUUAAGUAUUCCACCUGGGGAGUACGCGGGC